AUAAGUAGAUUUAGCUUCUUUUGGAAUAAAAUUCAAGUUUGCAAUCAAUUUUUACAAUCUUUCCAUUUUUUCAACUGCGAUUUGGUACAUUUGAUUCUUACGUGUAAGAUGCAUACAUUUAUAAAAAAAUAUAUAUUUUGGGUCAAAUUAGAUUUAGCCACCUUCUGGAAUCAAGCUCAAAUCUCUUCAUUUUAUUAUCUUGCACGUCUCGUAUCUCGUAUCUUGCACAUCCCCCUCUCUCUGACCACCCCCAAAGAUUUAUUGACUAACUUACCCUCAUUCUUAUUUUCAUUAAUUUUAAUUAAGAGUACUUUGUAUCUAAUUAAUUUCUUUACUUUUCAUUUUUAUUGUUUAUUUCAAUUCUGUUAUUCAUAGUUUUGCAUUAUUUCCAUGUUUGGUUGUUUUAUAUAUUUUCGGGGUUUUAUUUUUGUACUUAUGUUCAUUUUAAUUUUGCAUUUUUCACGGUCUUUAUGAAGAACAGCUUUUAGCUGAAAGCAGGGUUUUAAACUGUGUUUAAAUAAGUACAAUACAAAUACAACUACCUUACGACAUGUACGACGAGCCUGGUUAUCAUAAUGCUAGUGCCAUAAUUAUUGAAGAGAAAUUAACUAUUCGACUUCCUGUCUUUCAUGUAUUUAAAUUUCUCGUCAUACUUACCCAGGUCUUCUACGAUGAAAUCAGUCCGAAGGUUUACAGGCCUUGUCACAUUGGGAGGAAUAGCAUCUGUGUUGUUACUUCUGGUCUUAAAAGGUCCGACAACAUUCAAACCUAUAACGGAGGAUAAUGGCGGGAAAAUUAAAACACCUUCAGCACAUCCAUUUCGGAUCGCACCAGGCUCUCUUCAACACCUUGCCAACGCCACAGCGAGCCAGGCCCAUUUGGGUAAAGAUGAAACCGGAACCUCUACUGCAAAAAUAACACAUUCCUACUCUCCAUCUAGUACGAACACGAGCAACCAACAUGGGAUCGUCGAUAGAUUUGGAAAAGACCAACAGAUCAUUGGAAAAGACCCACAUGGUGGGAUGACGAUCUUAGACACCCAGAGCCCCUCUUUUGGUAAACAUGGGGACAACUCAAGCGGACCGGAGAGGCGUGAUGAAACUAGAUGCAUCCCUCGAAAGAACAUGAUGUACCUUAAAACUCACAAGACCGGGAGCUCUACAUUACAGAAUAUCAUUUAUCGUUAUGGUGAUGCUCAUGGGCUGACGUUUGCCCUUCCAAAAACAGGUGUAUACCUUGGGACGCCCUCAUUGUUCAAAAGGACAUUUCCCAUCCCGUCACCAACAGGAAAAUACAACAUGCUUGCUAAUCAUGCAAGAUAUAACCGUCACGAAAUGGCGGAAAUCAUGUACAAGAACGCAGUGUAUGUGACCAUCAUCCGGCAUCCCUCUACCCAGUUUGAAAGUAUGUAUGCCUACUAUGGAUUUAAAGGUACCUUCAAGGUGGACCUUGAAGGAUUUGCGGACAAACCACAGAAUUAUUUUCGAAGACAGAGUACUACUCCUUCACAUAGUGCCCUUAACCCAACGCUUUAUGACCUAGGAAUGUCCAAACUGCAGAUGAACAAUGAUGGCGCUAUUCGGAAUAAAAUCACUACUUUGGGGAAUGAUUUCGAUUUAGUCCUAGUUGCAGAGCAUCUUUUAGAAUCGUUAGUUCUCUUAAAGGAGUUAAUGUGCUGGGAUUUGAGCGAUGUGACAUUUUUCUCAGCCAAUGCAAGAACGAAAUCGCAAGUGGAUAAAAUGUCCAAGAGAACGUUUGAACAACUUUACAAAUGGAACCACGGUGAUGCCCUUCUGUAUGAGCAUUUUAACCAAACGCUAUGGACGAAGAUAAAGGCGUACGGUCAGGAAAGAAUGGAUAGUGACGUCAGGACAUUGGAUAAAAUGAACAAAGCGCUAAAAGAAAAAUGUCUUGAUGGGACCAAAGCUGUAAUGAGUGUCUCUGCAUUAGUUAGCCGUUAUGUUUUGCGCCAAAGUAUGAAGGACAAUAUUGAGUGCUUUAGAAUGAUCCGACCGGCCAUUCAGUAUCUAGAAUCACUAAAAAGGAAACAAAAGAUAUCGGCUGGGUAAGACGUCUGAAAUUGUAUAUGACCAGCUACCCCCAAACCAUAAAUGAGUCGACGUAAAUGAAUUUCAGAUUCUUAAUGAGCUUGAAGAUGCAUCCCACAAGCUUUAAACAGAUAUAUAACUUGUCUCAAUUGAUCAGUAAUAUCCCUAAGAUCUUUUUUUUAUACAAUGCGCAAGAAAUCCAACAUGGCCUUUAAAAAAGCGAGAUUUUAAUUUCUAGGUGACACGCAUGAGUUUUGCACAAAGAGUAAUUUGUACGAGAGUUCCAACCUGUCCUCAAAUUUUUUUGUCAAAGCAAUUCUUGAUCUUGUCUUUUAUUUACAAUUUCAACUAAAGAAGAGGAAUUUAUCAUGUUUUUGAUCAUGUUAAUAAUUGCUUCCUGAAGAGCGAACUAAUUAUUGUUUUGGCUAUUGAGAGAAAACCUUCCUUGGCGACUGAUUGUUGCUUUGUUGGGUGGCUGGUCAGAUAUUGCCUAAAUAUGCCGUUUUUAUUAUCCUUACACGAAAAUGAAUUAUCUAUUUUCAAAUAUAGAAUUAUUUGUGUUUGCUAACAUUUUAUUUGUGCCAAUAGUUCAUUCAUUUUUUUUUUUGGGGGGGGGGAGGGGGGGGGGUAAUUUACCUUUUAAGUAUAUUUGACAAUGAGAUAAAAGAGACAAAGAGGUAAUGUAUUGCAGUUCCAACAAACUUUAUUUCCAGGUUUGCGUCGAAACUUGGAGAACACUUGGAAAUAAACUUUGUUGGAACGGCCAUGCAUUACUUCUUUGUAUAUUUAUUGUAUAUACUUAUAAUUGAUAAUUAUCUUCGUCCUGGGGGGGGGGAGCUGGGGGCUUCUCCCCGCUACGUUCCCCAGAAACAAUAUCCAGUCAGCUCCAACUGUUACGUGAUUAAAAUCGAGAUUUUGGCAAAUUGUUUAAAUAUACGCUCUAAUAUGAUGACAGCAGGUGCUUAGAAUAGUUCAUGUUUAGGUAGAUAUCCAUGGAAUAUCAAAACUUUUAUGCAGCGGUUGUACUUCCCACAGACCGUGAAUGAAACCGUGUAAAAGCAAAUUAUAUAAGCGUAAUAGAAAAUAAAGAAAGGAAUAAAAGAAAAGAAUAAAGGAAGGAGAAAGAAGAAAAGUUAAAAAAUAUGAAAGCAACUAUUAAUUAUUUUAAUACAUGUGGCAAUACUGACUGGUAAACAAUAGAAGAAGAGGCUGUUUUUUAUAUCAGGGUCCUCAUUAUACAUAGCAUUAAAGGUCGGAUAUUAAGAGACUAAUGGACAUGAUUAAUACAUACUCCUAAUCUUUAUGAGUUUUAUCAUUCAAAUCGAAACAUGAAAAUAAACAAAUAGAUUUUUCAAAAUACAAUUAAACAAAUUGACCUAUUAUUGAACUUUUUUGUUUUGUAGAAGUCUUUAUUAUUCAUUCAAAUAGAUUUUCCAAAAUACAAUUAAACAAAUUGACCUAUUAUUG